GGAGAGGUGUGGAAAAGAUAUAAUGAGGGGAGGAAGAGGACAGAUAAAGGGAAAGGGAGGGGAGGAGACAGCAGAGACACUUUCAGUCUGUCUUCACAGAUUAGCACCACCAGUGAGUCUAAUGUGGAGUGAAGAAGUGGUAAGAAACGAGGGAGGAGAGGAGAGACGGCGGACGUGAUGGACAUUGGCUGAAGAGUCUGGCCUUUCGGUAAUUGUGCUGGCCGCGGAGCAGAGGUCAGAGACAGAAGCUCCAGCCUGGAGACUGGGUCCUGAUCAGAGUCCUGAGGGGGAAGAAUUGGAGGUCGCCUCGGUGGGAAGGGCCGUAUCAAAUACUGCUGACGACACCCACGGCAGUAAAAAUUGCUGAACGGCCCUCGUGGAUCCACCAAUCGCACUGUAAGCUGAUGCAACUGGAAGCAGAGCCAGAUCAACCGACGGGGUAGCGGUGGAAGUCCGAUACAAAGGGGUCAGUAGCACAAUAGGGUGCUGACGUCUCAAUCCGGUGAAGAACCCAACUGAUCCGCGCCCAACUCUAGAAUGGCUCUCUGGCGACUCCUGCUAGUCGCAGGGGUGACUUUGUCACUUCUGUGGCUUUCCUUCUUCUUCCUUCCCCCUACAGGAACUCACAAGACUAAAAGAACCCAUGAACACUCCAUGGCAGCGACUUGGGAACAGAACCUCUGGUAUAAAGCUAUGAAUUUUACAGCACGCCAGAAUAAAGUUACUAACGCACUAAUUGACAUAACUGAUCAGCUGGAAAACGAUCCUGAACUUGAGGCUAUCAAGCAAAUGACACUCCAGAACAGAAUAGCUUUAGACCUUCUUUUAGCAGCACAAGGAGGAGUUUGUGAAGUUGUUAAUGACUAUUGUUAUACAUACAUCCCUGAUCACAAAGGCAAUUACACCCUAAUCAGACAGAAAUUGGAUGAGAUUAAAAUAGACAUUUUAAGCAACCAAGACAAAGGUCUUCUUUCAGGCUGGGAUUUUACCUCUUGGUUUACAUCUGGUGGUAUUUUUCAGACUAUUAAAAGAUUUGUAAUUAUAAGUGUAUGUAUUUUGUUACUAUUUUGCAUUUUUGCUACCUGCAUUUUACCAUGUUUGAGAUCCAUAAUUUCUAAAAUGAUAACCACUUCUGUUGUUGCGUAUGCUGCACUCAAAAUGGAAGAACCACAAUAUGACUAAUGAUGAGAAUGAUGAUGUUGAAGUGUAGUUUAAUGACGUGACAGCAGAAAAUGUUUUACAAGAUGUUGUUAACUGAUCUUCACAUUUUUUGAUCAUGAUAAACAGGAGGGAAUGUUAGAGUUGAAUUUGUAAAUACAUUUAUCAUAAUCGAGCCUUAGAGCAUUAACUGUAUGUGCAUAGUAUUUUACAUGACUAUUUUUAUAGAAUACCACUCACUCACGUCUAUCUGCACACAUCUCUCCCUCUCUCUCUCUCCCUAGUCUCCACAUCCCAGUAUAUUUCCACUCUUUCAGCUUAGCACACCCCCUUUGUGUGACUCGAGCUAUUUCUUAUCUUAUGCUAUGUUUUCAUUCCUGCUUGUGUAUAAAAUAAACUUCGUAUGGGAGCAGUC